CAUGCGCGAAAGCCACAAUAAAAUGUAAGCUACGUGACUGCUGGUCGACUAGCGGGGACUUCUGCAAUCUCAGCACCGCGAGCUUUUAAAAAGGCGAUCAACAGCCAAAUCCACGUCUUUGUUAGUUAAUUCGACUUCCGCGUUUAACUUGACAGGCCCGUGCCUUGUAAAAGUCCCUUAUCUUAAUUUGCGCUGCACUUAAGACGAGUUCAGACACGGUUCAACCGGCAGGCCACGUAUUAGUUAUUAA